GGUCAUGCUUUUCCACAGCUUUCUUGAACUUCCACUGUUUGCUGAUUAAUACACGGCUCUUGCUAGCUAGGCGCCGUAUGUAGACACCGCGCGCCAUGGGAGCUCAAGAAAGCUGUGGGAGAACAUGGCAC
rfam:Citrus sinensis cultivar Ridge Pineapple sweet orange scaffold00013_contig_64, whole genome shotgun sequence.